rnacentral:lncRNA from 1 species
AAUUUUCAAAUGUUUUAUUUUUAGUGUUUUUAAACAUUUUAAUACAACAAAGAUAUAAAAUAAUAUAUAUUAGUUAAAUCUGGAUUUAAUUUAGAAUUGAGAUAUUUACUUAUAUACAAUACUGUGCUUCAAGGUAUGGCUACCACAGGAACUUUCACAUCUUCAAGUAAUACUAGUUUCUCUGCACAUUGGGUGACAUUUAGGUAGAAUUCAUAGAACAAAACAUGCCCAUCUUAGCCCAAGCUAAUUUUGCUUCCCCCAUUAAGUACCAGUCUCCACUUCUUUUGUUUCAUAUCAGAAAUACUUCAAUUGUCCUAACAAGUCAUAGAUUAUGGAGUACACAGAGAAAAAGUCCUUGGCUAAUAUAAGGUAGAACCAUAGUCUAAAAAAUUAACUUUGGGGGAAGCUGAAUUAUGGCUUAUAGAUUGCACAGAUGUUUUAAUUCAACUUAAUGC